UGUAGGAUAUGUUAGCUUAUAAAAUUGCAAAAAUCAGUAUGGGACUGAGAUACAGCUGAGGAAAAAUGGAUAUCAUCUAGAAAUUCUUGGAUUGCUUCUGGGUACACCAAUUUUCUUUUUUAAAUUUUUAGUUGUAGAUGGACAUAAUACCUUUAUUUUCUUUCUUUAUUUUUAGGUGGUGCUGAGAAUCAAAUCCAGUGCCUCACACAUGCUUGGAAAGUGCUCUACUACUGAGCCACAACCCCAGCCCCUGUGUUCACCAACUCUUGAGACUGGUUUUACUAAGGGAGUGAGUGUCAAUUACUUGCACAUGCCUGCUGAUCUUGGAUAGGAAGAUGCAGCCAUUCCUUCUUCUGGAGAGCCUCUGAAGCUCAGAGAAGAGUUGUGUGUGGCAAACAAUAGUCCCACACAGUGUGCCCUCAUUCCUCCUAAAAAAAUCCACUUGCAUUUAUUGUACUGACAAAGUUUCAGCUUUAUUCUGGGACUCUUCCUCCCUCAGAGUUGAAUGUAAGUACCUGGCUGCCAGGUGUUUUGUAAGCUGGGCUGCGAGAGGGAAAUGUAGGGAGAUGGUUCUGUAACACAGACUGAGUUGGUGACCCUGCUGCACCCUCAUUUCUCACACUUGCCCUCUGUGUUUUUUCCUUUCUUCCCAGUCUCCUCUGCUCAGCUCCUCCUUCACGUUCCUCCAUCUGCUUUGUGUGUUACAAGACACUGAAAUCCUAAAUAAUCUGAUGUGUCUCUCUUGGAUUCUCUGUAGACAGAAGAGAUAAACCUGAGAGUGGAGUCACUUUAGACUUAGAAGCCCUAGGUCGUUUGGUUUUUUUAAAAUGGCUCUUUAAUGUGCUCAAAAGUACACAGCCAGCCAUGACAUAUGACAGCUUCUCUAGACCAUGCAGGCCCCAUGUUCUAUAAUUCUCUUUCUCAUUUGGUCCAACACAACCCUGGGGCCACUAGGGAGGCUGGAGUGAACUCCACUGGCUAGAGAGCUCUUGAUCAGAAUGACAAGAAGACAUCUCUACUGCUUGUCAGAGAACUGAUGGAGAGGUAUUCCAGGUUAGGGCUUGGAGGAGGAAGCAGGUGAGUAGGAUAUAGGAACAGCAGUCUACUCAACUGUUGCUGAGAGCCUGUGUUGGUAGUGUGAGGACACCAUAGAUGAGCUGAGCGAUCACCAGUGUGGGACUCAAGGAGUGUAUCAGGUGAUAGAAGACAUUAGGUCUGUGAGAAACUUAAGCAAAAAUCCUGCUGAUGAGGGGAAGCUUGAGGCAGAAAAUAAUGUCGUCAGCAGUGUCAGUGGCACCCACAGAGGACAGUGACAGAUUGCACAGGCCCUCUCUCACAUUUCUGGACUCAUGGAGGCAACAAGCAAUGUGGAUGCGUGAAAGCCACAGCUUGCCCAUUAGUUUUGACUUCCUUUCUCAAAGACUUUCUGCUGGAGCUUGCACACUGGGCAUGUCACCUCUUUGUCCUUCCCUUCCCAGCGUGCUGUAAGAGACUGGUAGGGCUGUAGAAGCACAUCCCUGGAGAGAGACCCCCAAGUUGUGUCAUUGGCUUUUUCACAUCAGGGACAGAGACCAGGCUGCUUCCCCCAGUUCAGUUCCAUUCUUGAUGUAAUGUCCCCUCACUGCCUCCUCUGCAGCCCAGGUGGGUCACUCAGCAGUAACAUACAGGGCUCUUAGGAAGUGCGGCAGCCCUGCUGGCCCUCUGCGUGCUGAGCAGCCCUUUCCCAUAGGCCUCUGGCUGUGCCUCGAGAAGGCAGCUGGACUUGACCCCACUGAGCAGAGGAAUCCUAUCUGCCUAGCAGGUUUACACAGUUGCUUUUUUCAUUAUUUCCUCUGGGCUCCUCCUUUGAGAAGAUUUAAAACAGGUGCUUUCCCCCCUCCUUCUUGACUCCUGGCAGCCACCAACACCAUUGAGAAUCUGUCUCUUGGAAUUCCCGAGGCCUAUUUGUGAUGCCCUCAACUGUGGCUGAAUUUUCUGCUUUCUCAGGGUCCUGUCUCUCUGUCUGUGUGUCUCUCUGUCUCUACCAUAUAUUUGGUCAGCUGUCCCCAAAUUCUCACGGCCCUCUGGGGUUAAGACAGUAGCCUGUCAUAUCCAUUCUGUGCUCAGCGACAGAAUGGGAAUUUUAUUCCCUCAAAUAGCGCACAAAAAGCUUUCAAAGUCCCCUGAAUAAAAAUACCCCAUUACCACUUCCUUUGGACCAGAGGAGCUGUUUCUACCCUGAGGCCCCUCUUCCUUUAGGGCAAGCCCCAUAGCAGACAGGCAAUCACUCAUUUAUGAAAAUGAAAGAUUCAUGAGGGACGGUGCUGGGCUGCCAGCAGAGUUUAGGCAGGUUCUGAUCCUGCUUUAAUUUAAUUAAGCCCUGUUUAUUUAAUCAGCCCAGAGAUAUGUAUCCUCAGGCAGGAAUUUGCUGCCUGUUUCUGAGCUGUGCUUUUGUCUGUGGGAGGAUGAAAGCGGCGAUCUGCCUGGUAGUUUUUAAGGGUUUGGGGCCCAAGAGACAGCCUGGUGGUCUGGAGUCAGGCCAGGCACUAUGGGGACAGUGUAUUCAGCAGCUGUGCCUGUGUAUGUGUGUGUGUGUGUGCAGGUGUGAAGUGUGCACAUGCGUGUGUGUGUGUGUGUGUGUGUGUGCAUGCAGACUCCUGAUGCUCAGAGCCCUAGAGUCUGGUUCUUGGUCAGGACUAUCAGAGAAGCCUGAUUUGCCACCAGUCUGCAUUCUUAGCCACCAUGAGAGGAAAGAAUUAGGGAAACAAGGUCACAGUGUUGCUUAAGGACAGUGUUGCUCAGAGUACGCUCCAGCAAUCCUGUGGGUGUCAGUGAAGCACACUGAUGCCCAGGUCUCACACCCAGAUUUGCUGAAUCACAGUCAAGUUUAAGAACCACUGCAUUCUCAAGUGUUGUUAGCUGCAGCAGAAUCUACAUUUUCAGGAUGGAGGUGGGGCAGGCAGAGGACAAUGAUGGAAAUCCACCUGGGGGAAACAUUAUGGGGGGAAUCAUUAUGGUGGGAACACAUUCGGACAGAGAGGUGUUUUCUGGAGCCUCCAGAAUCCCUCCAUUUAGAGGAUAGCCUCUAUCUUCCAUGUCCAAGGGCAGAUCUCAGGGGAACAGCUAUGGUGUGGUGGUAGUAGCUGCCUAAGCCCUGCACCUGGAUCUGCACAGUGCUCGGCGUGAGCUGCCCAUCAGGGCCAUUGACAGUAAGGCAGAGCCAGGAUCCAGGCCAGACUGUCAUAGGUGACUGGAGAAAACUGAUGUUAGAGAACUUUCAAAGGAGGAAUGCCAGGAUUUGUUGACCUUUUAAAGAAAAUGGGAAUGAAAAGAAUGAGAAGAGAAAGGAACCCCAAGUUCAGGGGCAAAAAAAUACAUUUGGCUCUAAUAAUGUGGGAAUCAGUUUUGGAGGGUCACUCCUUUUCUGAGCUCUCCCAAUUCCUCUGCUUUUUCAGCCUCUGUCAUCUCUUCUUAAGAGAGCACAUCUGUUCAUGUCAUUUUAAAAAACAGAGUCCUGUUUGUGCAAUUGAUUGGCUCUCAUCUUUUGAGGAGGGCAGCUCUGCUUGUUUCUAAAGACCUGGUCAGCUGCACUUUGAGAAUUCACCAUAAUAUCAAAACAAUCUUGUUGCAAACCAAAUCACAAGCUCUGCAGCCAGGUCUUCUUCUGUUCUGUGGUCUAUGAACUGGUAGGGAGGAGAAGGACCAGGGAAGAACAGGGGACUUAAGGGACAACCGGAGGCAAUUUCUAGGGUCCAGGGAAAGAGCCCUGAGGAGCCGUGAUAGAUCUAGACCUCCUUCUCUCAUCAUGGAAGGUCUAUGUUCGAAGUGAGUGAGGAUACACAUCUCAUGUGUAUAUGUUUGUGUGUUAGGAAUGAACCAGAAACUCUUUCCCAGAGUGAAUCAUGCUUAAAUAAUAUUUAAGAGACCCUGUUUUUGACUAUCAUCAGUUGGCAGUUGUGGCCGUCAGCCUCCAAGAUGAUCACCAAAUCCUGGCCUCCUGGUAUUCAUACUUUUGUAUAGUUACUUUCCCUAGUGAACAGGGCUGACCUCUGUUACCAAGUGGAUAUUGCAGGAAGAGUUGUGUAUGACCUGCGAGCCCAGCUCAUGAGAGGCAUGGACUUCCCCCUUGUUUCUGGGUUGGCUCCUUCUGGGAGAAGCCUUGGGAGGAGAAGUCAUAAGCACAGUCAACCAGUACCAUGGAGAGGUCCACGUGAGGAGAAGCUGAGGCCUCCCUCCAACAGCCAAGUGAAUGGUGAACCAUUUUGGAAGUGGGUCCUCCAGCCCCUGCAAAGCCUUCAGAUGACUGAAGGCCAGGCUAACCCCUUGACACAGUAUCAUAAAGACCUUAAAGAAGAACCAUCAGCUCAGAAUGCUCCUGUAUUCAUGACCUACAGAAACUAUGAGGUCUGAGAAGGAUCAGAUAAGCAGUCAAAUAGGAGUCAUCCGUUGAUCCAGAAGGCGAGUAUCCCUUCUCCUUUUCUUGUUUUGCUGAAUAACUUUCAUAUUAGUGGAGAGGAAUAGUAGAGAGAAUACUGAAAUCCACUUUAAAUUAAAAAAAAAUCUUUUUAAAAAUUGACAAAUAAUAAUUAUACAUAUUUAUGGGAUAUGUGUCAUGUUUUUCCUGGCUUAAUUUCUUUUUUUGACAAAAAUCAAAUCGUCUUACAUUUAACACUUUCACUUAUGUUUGCUCUCUAAUUCCUUCCCUAAACAUUAUUGUUUUAGUUGGCUUUGUGUUGCUGUGACCAGUGUACCCGACAAGAACAGUUAAGCAGAGGAAGAGUUUCUUUUGGCUCAAGGUUUCAGAGGUUCAAUCCACGGUCGGCCAACUCCAUAACUCUGGGUCUAAGCAUGAAAGGGAAGAAACUGAGCACUGUGGUGGUGACCCAGAGAGGGACCAGAUGCUAUCCGAUAUCCCAGGUGAUUAGAUCGAUUUUAGGAGAUUCCCUUUUGUCAGAGGUCCUGCGGCUUGCUCUGCAGUAGUGCAAGUUGUACCCAAUGGAACACUUAGGUCGUUGGAUCAAAACUUUGUCCUCUGCAUCCCUUUAGAAUGUAGCUGUGGAUAUCCAUUUAAAUAGAAGCCAGUACUUUCUGAGUUUCUUUUCAUGUCAACCUGGACAUACCCAUUUUAAAAAAAAUGUGGCUGGUUAUUAAACUGUAUUUGUUUUGUGUCUCCAUCUGUGCUGUGUGCUUUCCCCGGAUAGCUCACAGAACUCUGCUUGGCACUGGGCUUUGGGGCCAUUUUGCAUGGCUCCACUUGGUCCUGGAGGAUGGAGUUGGGGAGUGUGAGUAGACAGCCUCCUUAACUCCAGUUUCCAUCACCUACACGUUAAUAUCCACCCCCACGGACCCCUUCACACCCAUCCUUCCAUUGAGCAUCUAUAUAUCAAAUAUCAUAGCAGAAUGCAGAUGGCAAGUACAAAGAGGAAAGAGACAGUGCUGCCCUUCAGAUCCUCUAAGUCGAGGGGACAGAGCAUGGAUAUUAUAGAGCAGGGCACUAGGUACCAUGAGUAAGGGAAGGGUGGGCAGAAUAGAAGCCCAGAGGACAACCCCUCACCAGGCUGAGGGUGGAGGGAAGUCUUCCGGCAGGAGAUUGCACCUGAAUCGGAUCUUGGAGAACAGAGGCGGGUCAGGAAAGCCUUUCCAAGGCGAGGGAACAGUGAGUGCAAAGAUAUAUUGGGGUGGAGAAUCUGGCAGGCUACGGGAACUGCAAUCUGUUUUAAUAUAGUCAGAGCAUAGAACACAGGAGUGGGGUGGAGGGUAGAAGGAAAUGAUGCCAAAAAGGUAGGCAGGAGCUGGAUCAUUGAGUCCUCUGAGCCAUGGUAAUGUGAGUUCAGAUCAAGUCCUCCAUAAGACAAUUGAAGGCAGAAAAGUGAUGAUGGCGUCUGCAGUCUUUGAAAGCUUCUUCCAGCUGCAGUAUGGAGGUUGGACUGAAGGAAGCAAGACUCACUGAAGGAAAUAGGAGCAGUUGGUGGCUGUUGAAGUGACCGUAGGAUACAAUGAUAGAGCCCUGAAAUUAGGUGGUGGUUGUGAAAGAGAGAGGAGAAUAAUGAAAGACACUCCCAUGGAGUAGACCUGGCAGGGGUUGGUGCUAGAUUGAAUGUGGAGGUGAAAGAGAAGGAGGAGGCUUCCAUCUGGGUGACAGGGGUGUCAUUAGUUCUUGUAUGUGACACAGGAAGGAGGACAGCUUUUCAGGAUCCCACUGAGUUCAGGUUUGCUGUCUAAAUCUUGGGUGAGAGAUCUGGGCAGAGAUGUGAGGAUGAGGGGGAGCGUGGUUGUCCAGGGAGAGUGGAAAGAGGGAGGGGAGAAGACAGUGCGCUGGCACCCUGGGGGACCCAUGCUUAUUGAGGAGCAAUGGAAGAGUAAUUAAAAAGGAACCAAGGAGGGACAGCCAGAGAAGUAGGAGGAAAACUGGAGUCCUGAAGCUGAGAAAACAGGAUUUCAAAGAGUUGCACAUUGGAAAGACAAAUAAAAUGAAUUGAGUAGUGCCCACUGGGUUUACUGAUGAAGAAGUUACUGCCUCUCUUGCAGGGGACAUUUCUCAGGGACGGUGGGUGAGGGGUGAAUGGCAUGUGAGGAAGCUGACACGGAGAGUGGAGGCAUCUCUUUAAAAAAUCUGGCUGUGAACAAGAGAUAGAGAUGACUAAAGAGGUAGAUGGGAAGGUGAGCUGUCAAGGGCUCCCAGUGAGUUCAAAUGUUGUCGCUCGUCUAUGUUUUAAGCAUCUCUUAGGCAACAAUGCUGUGCUAGGCACAGCUAUAAAGAAAUUUAAGACAUGCCUUCCAGUGUGUGCAGUUUAGUAAAUAAAACUCCAGAAAUGCAGGGCCUGACAACCAACGCUCCUGUGUUUGCUAAGAGAUGGUGGAGUAUAGUAGUAUAGAAAGUGUACAAAUUUUGGACUUCAAAUAGAUCUGGGUACAAAUCUUGGCUCUGCUCCUUUCUGACUCUGUGAACUUGGGCAAGUUAUUAAGUCUGUUUAAGCCUCAGUUUUCUUGUCUGUAAAAUGAGAAUAAUCAUGUCAACCAUUCAUAUUUCUUGAGAGGAUGUGAAAUAAAAUCUAUUAACUUUUUAAA